rnacentral:rRNA from 1 species
GGGACGAACGCUGGCGGCGUGCUUAACACAUGCAAGUCGAGCGGUAAGGCCUUUCGGGGUACACGAGCGGCGAACGGGUGAGUAACACGUGGGUGAUCUGCCCUGCACUUCGGGAUAAGCCUGGGAAACUGGGUCUAAUACCGGAUAUGACCUCCUAUCGCAUGGUGGGUGGUGGAAAGAUUUAUCGGUGCAGGAUGGGCCCGCGGCCUAUCAGCUUGUUGGUGGGGUAAUGGCCUACCAAGGCGACGACGGGUAGCCGACCUGAGAGGGUGACGGCCACACUGGGACUGAGACACGGCCCAGACUCCUACGGGAGGCAGCAGUGGGGAAUAUUGCACAAUGGGCGAAAGCCUGAUGCAGCGACGCCGCGUGAGGAUGACGGCCUUCGGGUGUAAACCGUCUUUCAGCAGGACGAAGCGCAAGUGACGGUACCUGCAGAAGAAGCACCGGACUAACUACGUGCCAGCAGCCGC